UACGGAGGGUGCAAACGUUGCUCGGAAUUACUGGGCGUAAAGGGCUCGUAGGCGGCCAACUAAGUCAGACGUGAAAUCCCCAGGCUCAACCUGGGAACUGCGUCUGAUACUGAUUGGCUUGAAUCCGGGAGAGGGAUGCAGAAUUCCAGGUGUAGCGGUGAAAUGCGUAGAUAUCUGGAGGAAUACCGGUGGCGAAGGCGGCAUCCUGGACCGGCAUUGACGCUGAGGAGCGAAAGCCAGGGGAGCAAACGGG
rnacentral:rRNA from 1 species